rnacentral:tRNA from 1 species
GGGCCAUUAGCUCAAUCGGCAGAGCAGCGGACUUUUAAUCCGCGGGUUCAGGGUUCGAUCCCCUGGUGGCCCACC